UCUCCGUUGGUGAACCAGCGGAGGGAUCAUUACCGAGUUUACAACUCCCAAACCCCUGUGAACAUACCAUUUGUUGCCUCGGCGGUGCCCGCUUCGGCAGCCCGCCAGAGGACCCAAACCCUUGAUUUUAUACAGUAUCUUCUGAGUAAAUGAUUAAAUAAAUCAAAACUUUCAACAACGGAUCUCUUGGUUCUG
rnacentral:misc_RNA from 1 species